AAGGGGAAAAAAAGCUGUCACAUGCAAACAUAGACAUCGGUCCUGAUUUAUUGGGAAUGAAGAUCUACUCUGCAAAGGUGUGAGAAAGCAAAAGACCCCACCAGUUUGUGCAAAAGGGGUAUGUUCCUGCUUUGAUCUUGCCUGCUGGGGAUAAUCGUCACUGAUCUCAUUUCAGUCGGUCGGUUGUUGAACCUGCGCUAACAGCUGCCUGCACCCACGCUUCUAAGGUAGUUUCUUUUUUGCCUUUCCUAACAGAUUCAAAUAGAGAUGCUGCUCUCGGGGAAAAAAAGAGAUUUCUGCUUGUUGAAGCAGAUUUGAAAUAGACCUACAACUUUCUUAGGAAGACAGUUUCUUUGUGCACAUCCCUGGUUUCACCCUCGGUCUCUCCUGUGCUUCUCCCAGCUGCGAGCUCAGGUGCCUCUGGCAUCACGCUCCCUGGGAUGCCGCACACAAAGGGACAGGAGCAAGCCCAGGGAGCGGCACCGUGGGCAGGACCCAGCAUGGAUAGAGAUCCAGAGAGAGCCUGCCAUUCCUAGAAAAACGUUAGUGCUAUUUAUUACACCAAUUAAUACAGAUAGAGGAAAACCAGCCCUGAUUUUUAGGACACUAAAGCUCUUCUCCAUCAAUCAGUUCAAUUAGCAGCACCAGCUCUCUCCGGAGUGCAUCCCGGCUCGUACCCGACGGCAUCCCGGGAUGGGACGGGGAUGCUGGUGCUGGCAGGUAAAGGCACACUCACCGCUGCGGAGCCGGUUGUGGGUGGAGAGCUGCAGGGCGCUCUCGGGGCAGUUCCAGCGCUCCCAUCCGAACUGGAACUUGCACUCCUCCAUCCCGCUGUGCGCCCCGGCCGCCACGCUGCUGGAGUAUGUCAGGUAAGCCUGGCACAGAAACAGCGGGGUUGAAACCCACAGCGUUUUACCAUUUAUCAGUGAAAACAAACAUAAAAGGGCUGCGAGUCCUUUCCCCUCAUAACUCAGCAGGACUUGGAGCCGAUAUGCUCUGGCAAGUCUGGUUCCUUGGAAAAAUACUAUUUCCCAUUCGCAAAACAAAAUUGCUCUACUUAAAUUCCUGACAGUCUGCGUGUUAAUUACCUUAGGUCCUGUCAUCAGAAAGUUAUUCACAGACCUGAAAUGGAGAAAAGAAAAUGAAUUGCAGAGUUUAUCACAGGUUGAAGAGCAUCCCUAAAAGAUGCCCUUUCCACUGAGUUGGACCCUACCAUGCUGCUGCGUGGAGAACGGCACUGUAGACCCCCGUGAUGGAGAGGAUGAGGAAGGUGCUUCUCUUCAUGGCUGUCACAAGGAGCUGGGUUGGAUCCUUUUGCUGAUCCGUAGCUCUCCACACUGCAGGUCCCCGAGUGAGCAGGGCCGCCUCCCUCUGCUCCUUCCCAAGCAUCCAAAAAUGAUGCAAAGCUACUUUUGGGCAAUGACAUGUCCGUACUUGGUCCUGCCACAUCUUGAGCUUCCACAACAAGCGGGUCAGAGUGAAACACCCAUGUACAGAUCGACCUUCAGAUCCCAGUGGCUCCGAGAGGACUCAGCUGCCCGGUCAGCCCCAGAGAGGCAUCUCCAUGACCCGAUCUGCCUCACCUCACCUGCCUCCUUCAGGUGUGUCCUUCAAAGCCUACGGGGCUGUUCACACAGCAGCAUUAUAAAGUAGGGACAAGUGUUUUGUUUUUCUCUCCUUCUUUAGAGGAAGUGUCAUGCAAAGCGGUGUUAGUGCAGCGGGUAGUUACUGCCUGGGCAUCGGCAUGAGGGGAACGCAUCUUUGUCCUGGCAAUGCGUCACCUCAGCAGAUAAAAGCCUGUCCAGGAAGAGAUGGGGCACUUGAUAUGGAGGAAAAUUAUCACCUCCUUCUUAAUCAUUCCCGGCCAAACUCAAGUUAAAUUAACUGAUUACAACCUGGCUCAUGUGGCGCUCCCCAGCCUUCCCCAGUGUGGUUCCUGGCACUAUCCCUUCACGGCUGUGGUUCGGUCACUCCUCCUCUCCCCCAUCCCCUUCGUGUCAUGGGGGACAGAUUAGGGCCAAAGUUCUUCAUUUCUGAGCUGGAGGAUACGUGUGUACCCGGUGCUGGCUGUGUCUGCAAACCGAGUGAGGGAGGUUUUGAGACUCCCAGAAGAAAAUGGUGAUUUAAGCUACAAAUAUUUUCUUAAUUUUUUUUUUUUUGGACAGAGGCAAUUCUGAGUGUAGAAAGCUGAGGCUUCCUCUGGGGGAUCCUGCACUGGAGAGCAACCUUGAAAGUUCUUUGAGUCUUGGUGGGAGAAGCAAAGUGAGGAGAAAACUUGCUUCGACACCUGCUUUGCCCCAUGAAGGCGGUGGGGAACCCGCACUGUGCGGGGGCUCGCUCCCCCCGUGCUGCCCGCUGCGGCUGCGGCACUUUGCCUUCCUCCCCUCCAGGGAAGCUCGUCUUGCCUCGCCUGUCUUUUCACAGGUCUCGAGCCGCAUUUUUCCAUUUCUAAUUGAGAAAUUAAGUGGAGCAUUGAUGUCAUGUUCGUAUAUAGGCUUUAAUCAGCCUGCGGAUGAAGGUAAUGCUAUGCAUUUAUUAAUCUCUGAUGUGGAAGGGGACAUCUCCAGUACUACCUGAGUUCAGAGUAAGGUGACAACUUGUGGCAAGGUCUCUGGCUUCACUAAAUCAGUUUUAGGCCUUUACUGUUUGGUUUAAAGUUGACAUGGUGCGAAUGUGUAAGGUGGGGAUCUGACUCAUAGAUCCAGCUUGUCAGCAUCCUCCAGGCAUGGAGACCUGUUAGGACCCUCUGUGGGAUGAAUUUUUCCCAAUGACACCCUUUGAAAACAGAUUUCCUUGAUCAUAUUCACUCUCUAAAUCCCAGAUCAGCUCUGAAAACACUGAGAGGCAGUUUUGGAGGGAGCUUUGCCCAGCCCCACUGAGGAUGAAAACAGGACGUUUUGCAUCCAUAAAUUCAGAGAUGGUGGAAACGGAGCAGAACCAACAGCGCCGGGAUCAAACACAACGGUGCAGCGUAGCAGGAGCAGAGGGUGCAGUAGCCGGGGGGGGGGGAUGCCGGGGUGAUGUCCUGGGGUGAUGUCCCGGGGCAGUGUCCCCCACAGGCUGGUGACAAAGCUCCCCCCUGUGGGACGUCCUCGCACCGCACACCCAUCCCAGCCCAUCCCAGCACGGUUCCUGGUGGCAGAGGCGGGCUGGGACACCACCGGCGCUCAGGUGGCUGGUGGGCGCGGACGGAUGGGACAGGCUUGCAAAGUCCCCCCACCCGAGCAGCUCAAGUGGCAGCCAGGAUAACAGCCGCCCAGCCAUCCCGCCUGCCAGGACAACCUCCAGUGAUCUGAUGCUCAUUGCUCAGGUUG